rnacentral:lncRNA from 1 species
UAACGUAGAAACCCUCUAAACAAUGACAUUUCUGCCAAAAAAAUUUGGUGUAAUUAAUUAUAAUGUUUCUGCCAGAAUUUAUUUCCGAACGGCUGCUGUAGGUCAUCAUGUCCAAGACAUGCAGUUUCUUUUUGUUUUUUUUCAUUAUUUUUUUUUUCAAAUAAUAGCAUAGAAUCUGAUAGUAUUAUUCAUGAUCGAGAUAUGUGUGGAUGCUUUCCAUUUCUUAAUGGUGACAAAAUAAACGUGUCACUUUCCCCACGAAGGGGUGUAAUAGUAAAAUAAGCAAUAACUAUUUUACCUAUCUUUCACAUUUUAC